rnacentral:rRNA from 1 species
UAUCUAUAAUCUAUAAUUAUUCUUUGUAUAAUGAAUAUAAGGAUAUAUAUAUAUAUAUAUGUCUAUGUAUAUGUAUAUUAUUAUGAAUAUAAAUGAGUAAUUUUAAGUUGUUGAGAGGAGUAUGAAAGUACUUACUUUGGAUAUUUAAUCUCAGAAUAUCUAAUAAAAAGAAAUAAGUUGUCAGACUUAUUGCGAUAAGGUGA